rnacentral:lncRNA from 1 species
UUGCGGACCAUUGUUCCUGAAUUUCUGCUUUCUUAACACUGUUGCUAUUGCAUACAGGGCUACUGCUGCAUUGCCAUUUGGUACAAUUGUUGUCAUCUUUCUUAUCUGGGCCCUUGUGACAUCACCUUUGUUAGUCUUGGGUGGGAUUGCUGGAAAGAAUAGCAAGACAGAAUUCCAAGCUCCUUGUCGUACCACAAAGUACCCCAGAGAGAUUCCCCCAUUGCCAUGGUACCGCAGUACACUACCUCAGAUGGCAAUGGCAGGGUUUUUGCCUUUCAGUGCAAUUUACAUUGAGCUUUACUAUAUAUUUGCAAGUGUGUGGGGUCACAGGAUUUAUACUAUCUACAGCAUCCUAUUUAUUGUCUUCAUUAUUCUUCUAAUUGUCACUGCUUUCAUCACUGUGGCAUUGACAUACUUUCAGCUUGCCGCUGAAGACCAUGAAUGGUGGUGGAGGUAUGUGAUCUUUAUUCUGGAUUCCAUGUUGCUCUUAUUAACUGGCUGCCUUAUAAAGAAAUUUUAAAACCUUUUUGACUCUUGCUUGGAAUUUUUGGAACACAAUGUACAAGAUAUGCUUGUUACACAUAAAUGACGACGAAAACAAGUAGGUUUUUUUUAGGGCUAGUAUAAGGGAAAGUGAUGGCCUAGUUCUAAAGCACUAAUAUAUGCUUGCUUGCUUGCUCCCUGUAGGUCUUUCCUCUGUGGUGGAUCAACUGGAUUAUUCAUCUAUGGGUACUGCUUGUAUUACUAUUAUGCACGUUCUGAUAUGUCAGGCUUCAUGCAGACUUCAUUCUUCUUCGGUUACAUGGCUUGCGUAUGCUAUGGUUUCUUUCUUAUGCUCGGGACCGUAGGCUUCCGUGCAGCACUGUUCUUUGUCCGUCAUAUAUACCGCUCAAUCAAGUGCGAGUAGCAAGUGACUGGACAAAGGUGGCUUCUUUGCUCUAAUUCUUGAUUAAUAUCAGCAGUCAUGGAUCGAGAAAAGAAUGUGUAGGACAAGAGUAGUGAAGCAGAGCCUGUAUUAUCUUACAGAAGUGAUAUGUAGAAACCAUGGUCACAUUUUGCAUUUACGGUUCAACAAGUAAUAUCAAUGUGCUAGUUUUCCAGUUCAUGUCAUUCUUUCCAUCUUUGAAGAUAUCAAAGCUAUGCUUUUGUUCAUGUUCUUUGUGGUAGAAGUACGGCAUUUCAGUAUUGGUUCCUGAUACUGUUUUUGUUUUUUGUGGCACAACAUCAACAGAAUCAGAGCCACUCUUGUUCCAAGUGUUCGAAAGCAACCACAAAAGAAUAAAUAGGGAAUCCCAUCCGUUUGACAAGAACUCAAGUACUGAACUAACUACGAAGUCUUAUAACCUACGCCAAGCGUGCGACCGAAGGCGUGUUGCUGGGUACUGGGUUACAUUAGUCUGUUAGGAAAUAGGAAAUGACCAGCAUCUUCCCCUUACAAUUGCGAUGACUGCGUGGCAUUUGGCGGUUGUUUGUUCGAGUAUAAACAUAUGCAAAGCAAUAACGUUGGAUCCGGUCAUGUCUACUUGCAAAUGCUUCUACCUGACUUGACUUCUCCCACACCUUUUCAUAUGAACGAUCUAACUGCUAACUCACCUAUACAUCAGGUAGGUUGUUUAGCAUAGUCAUUAUGUGACAAUGACGCUUUUAUUUAAUUUAACACACCCAGACCAUAGGCUCUAGACAGGUAAAAAUAACUGUGGGAACACAACUAUCACCUUCCCAUUUGAUGUACUACCAAGUGCUAAAGUUCUAGUAAUAUAAAAUUCAGACUCCCUCUGCUGGGCUUAGCCAUGAAAAGUUUCUUCUGAAAACUCAUUCCUUGUUUGCCAUUUCCUUUGUAAAUCUUUGCCUGUUUUGCAAUUAUCGAUCUCCUUUUGGACCUCGCAAUCUUGUCUCGUGCAAAGAAUAAUGUUUAAAAGAGAAUCCUAGAUAUGAUCGUAACAUUUUGACAGCCCAAAAUUUUUCUUUAUUCGCAAGUUUUGCAGUCUUUCAUACAUAGGGCUGCAAACGAAUCGAGUCGAGUCGAACUUUGAGCUAAUCGAACCGAGUCUCGACUAAAUUUUACCAAGGUCGAGCUCGACGAGUCGGCAAUUUUCAAGCUCGAGCUCGACUCGAAUCAAGUCGAGCCGAGCUCGAAAAAAAUAAAAACUAAUUAUUUUAUUUUUAAACAAAUAAAUAAAAUAAUAUUUUUUUCUUAAUAAAUAAUAAAAUAUUAAGGAUAUAUACGUAAUUUUAUUAUGAAAAUAAAAAUAAAAAAAUAAAUAUACAAUAUACGUAAUUUUAUUAUUAAAUAAAAAUAAAAAAAAUAUAUAUAUAUAUAUACUCAAGCUCGCGAGCUGACUCGCGAGCUAACGAGUUUAAUAUUCUGAGCUCGAGUUUGAUUCGAGCCGACUCGAGCUCGAUUAAUAUCGAGUUCGACUCGAGCUUGACUUGAGACUCGCGAGCGACUAUAUUCGUUUGCAACCCUAUUCAUGCACUCAUAUUAACUUUGAGAUGUUGAACCCCCAUUGUUGUGCGACAGUUUUGAGACGCGGUCCAUUGGUCUACGGUACCGAUUUCCUUUGUUCUUCUAAGAAUUAAGAUGUUGUAAGUUGUAACUCACAUUUGUUUCCUUUCUUUAUUGUUUCGAAAUGCUAAGAAGAAUUCGAUUUACCUGAAUGUUGAUCGACCAUACUUGGAUUUGGGAUCUCGUGAGCAAAGUAACAUAAAAUCAUGCCUCAAAAUAAUCAUUCCUAACAAUUGAAAAGGCUAGAUCACACCUAAACGAUCAUAUAAAUUCACACGCCAAUAAUUGUUAUCUUAUAUUACAGGGAUAAUUUUAGAAACCUCCCCCGAAAUUUUUCACAAUACCGCUCAGCUCUUCUGAGAUUUUUAAAAUCUCACUACCUCCCUUGGAAUAACAUUUCUUGUAACAUUUUAACUCCUUUGAAGGAAAAUGCAAGAAAGAUAAAACUUUUGUUCCAAUACUACCCUUAUAUUAUCCUACUUAUGGAAUUUAUAACAACAAUAACAAAUAACAUAAAGUUAAAUUUUUAUAAGGUAUAAAUUUUUUAACGUAAACUAUUUAUUUUAGUUAUAUUGGAACAAAAGCAAAAUUUACACCUUGAAAAUUUGACACAUAUGAAGAGAUUAUUUUAAUUUUCAAUACAACUUAAAUUACACCAUGAAUUGAAACAUAUUUCUCUAAAAAAUAUCUUGACUUCCUUAAUUUUAAUUGUGCACGAAAUUUUUUAAGAUGUUAAUUACUUUUUAAAAUCCUUCGAAGUGGCUGAUCUUAAUUAGAUUUAAUUUAUCUACCCUUUGCUAUCCCACCGUGACCCCAAUGUAAAGAAAUAUAGACCAUUAUUAGCUAGUAAAUUUUUUUAAUUUAGAUUUUUUGCUUUUAAAAUUUUAUUUUGUUUUGGUCUAAAAUAUCUCUGAAACAAUGUCCUUUUUCAUAUCUAUUUCCUUUUCCUUUAACAACCAAAAGUAGAAGUUCUAAAAGAAAAGGUAGAUGUUCUGAACUCUGAAUUUCUUCAUUAGAUUGCGAUAACCAAACCAUUAGCUGCACGUGUUAGAUCUUCUGUCUUAGUCCCUUGCGAUGAAUUUUUUUUUUUUUUUUUAAAAAGGAAGAAUUGACCAAACGUACCAGAACACCGAAAAUGAAAAAGGAAAAAAUAGAAAUAACCAUAAACAAAAGAAGACACGAUGUCGUUUUCACUCAUUCAUCGUCUGUUGGUUUGUCAAAUUCGUAGAUUUGCGCGUGGGUGAAAAAUUGGGUGAAAAAUUUUCAAUUGUUUCGUACCUUCCUACACCACUUCAGCAGACCAGUAUUAAGAAGAGCAGUCUGGAAAUCUGCUCUCUAAACUCUCUCUCUCUCUCUCUCUCUCCUCCUCUCGGGGCUUAUUGAGAUCUGCCUCUCUCUCUCUCUCUCUCUCUCCCCUCUUAUUCCAACGACCGAAUUGACGCCGACGAUGGGGAGGAGUUGCCGGAAUCAUUACUCCGUUCUAAUUUUAGCGGUUAUACUUCUUAGCGCUACGGAAGUGAGGUCAGAUGCGUCAGAUCACAAAUACAAAGUCUCAGAUCAGGUUCCUCUUUACGCUAACAAGGUCGGACCUUUCCAUAAUCCUAGGUAAUCUUCUUCACGUCUUGUCCACUUUUAGUGAUUUUUUCUGCUCUUGUAAGUUAAACGUUUGAUGUUAUUUGUUGAAUGGCUGCCGUAAAAUUAUGGCUAAUUGUUCCAACUAUAGUAUUUUAGAGUUUAAAUUUUGUUUGGAUUGAGUAUUCUCCGUCCUUUCUGAGAUUUUGGAGUUUUUGAUGCUUAGAAAUGCUGCAUGGAUGUGUCGGUGGAUCGCGUGUUUCAAGUUUUAUGUCAGUGGGAUUCCAGUUGGUUGGAUCUAGAGUUAAAAGCUGCAUCUUGCUUGUCUAAUUACAGUAUUGGCAGUUGUGUGGGAGAUUUUUGUUUGCUAAUUGCGCUAUUUUUUUUUAAGCUGAAGUAAUAGCUUGGAGAUUGUGAGAAUGUUAAUUGUUGCUGGUGUUUGAAUUAGUUUUGUUGCCUAUACUGCUGAACUAAAGAAAAGUUUGCAUUUUGAUGGUGUGAAAAGGGAGAUUCGGGAAGAAAAUUAGGUCCUUUUUGUUUCUGUUUUUAAACGUUGAUUGGAAGCUCUGCAAGAAUGAGGGAAAAGUGACAAGUAUUCGAUAUAAUAAUAAAUGAAUCAUCUUAAGUUGUGAAGAGUACGAAAAGUAUCAAGUUGUGGCUAAAAGAAAUAUGGUGAGAAGUACAAUACACGUAUGAUCUGGCACUUGAUACGAGUAUUCCCUGCACUUUAGCUAGUUAUCAGGAAUUAUGUGAGAAUUUAUUGCAUCUGUAUCAAUGUUUCUUUGCAGUUGGUAAAUAUGUUUGUAAGCCAUGGAAGCAGAACGUAUGCUUCCCCAAGAAAUAAGUUGAGAGGCAUUAACUUACUAGAUCAUGAAAAGAAACUUUGUCUAAUGCAAUUAUUCUGAUACUUAAAUUUGACAGACGCAUUAUAACACUUGCAACUGAGUGUAUAGGACUGUCAAAAAGAAUAGUGAUUUGCAUAUUGCUCCUUGGGGAUUUGGUCAGUUAACAAGAAGAAGAUGCUCUUUUGGUCUCUGUCUUGAUCAAUGAUCGUAUACUUGCAAGAGAUGGAGUUGGUUUCUGUUAAUAAAAUUGGUUGUUAGUGGGGUAUACAAGUAAUCUUUUUUGGUUUUAAAAUUGCAAGCUGGCAAUGUGUUGACAUAAAAUGGCUCUUUUAAUAAUUGUUUAAGAUGUAUUUGAUGCGACCUUUUGGACUUGUGGAUAGCCCAAAACUUCCAUCGUGCUUGCAAGGCUUCUGUUAGCUACAAGUCCUAUAUAGCGAAUGAUUUUGGAAUGGAGGGUUAUGUUGGUAAUUGAUCUUGUGGAGGUGCUAAAUAAAGGGCCUAUUUGCAACCUGUUCUUGUCAAUUGAAAGUAAAGUAGUUCUUGAUAAUAUUAUCUAUGAGAAUCCCAGUUGAAUAGCUAAGUUGCGACUUUGAGAAGACUUUCAGUCAACAUCUUCCAUCUAUAAAAGACUUCUCUAGUGACACCCUUCUCUCAAUUUAUGAGCUUGCAAAAUUCAGUAUGAAAUUAUGUGUAUAUAUUCUGUUUAUUUUACUUGAGUUUCAUUUCUGACUUUAAACUCUUCCCCCCCCUGUAUGUUGUAGUGAAACCUACCGGUAUUUCGAUCUUCCGUUCUGUUUACCAGGUAUCAAGAUGAUCGCUUUUAUUCUUCUUCCAUUAGUUGUUUAUCUUUUUUCCUUAGUGAAGGCUUGAUUCUUGAUGUAUAAUGCUUGCAGCUCAGGUGAAAGAGAAAAAGGAAGCACUUGGUGAAGUUUUGAAUGGUGAUCGUUUAGUUGUUGCUCCAUAUAAUCUGGAAUUUUUGCAUGAUAAAGAGUCUGAAGUUGUUUGCAAAAAGAAGUUGUCAAAGGAAGAAGUUGCUCAAUUUCGAAAUGCUGUCUCAAAAGACUACUACUUCGAGAUGUACUAUGAUGACUUGCCUUUGUGGGGUUUCUUGGGGAAGGUUGAAAAGACUGGCAAAACUGAUCCAAGCGAGUACAAGUAUUACUUAUUUAAGAAUAUCCAUUUUGAAAUCUUAUACAAAAAGGAUCGUGUUAUUGAGAUCAAUGCACGAACUGACCCUGGUUCUAUAGUGGAUAUAACUGAUGAUAAGGAAGUGGAUGUGGAAUUCAUGUACUCCGUCAAAUGGAAGGAAACUACUACCCCUUUUGAAAAGAGGAUGGAGAAAUAUUCUCAUUCAUCUUCCUUACCACAUCACUUGGAAAUUCAUUGGUUCUCAAUUAUCAAUUCAUGUGUCACAGUUCUCCUCUUAACUGGUUUUCUGGCCACAAUUUUGAUGCGAGUCCUUAAGAAUGAUUUUGUUAAGUAAGUACAACUUAUUAUUUGUGACCCAUUCAUGUUAUACAAAUUCAUUUGUGCUGCUUGACUGUCUUUUACUGUUUGUCCUGAUGGAUAAAUGCUCUGUAAUAAUAUUUGGUGUUUAUUGAAAGAUACGAGCACGAUGAGGAGACGGCUGAUGACCAAGAAGAAACUGGGUGGAAGUAUAUUCAUGGUGAUGUCUUCAGAUUCCCUAAAUACAAAUCCUUGCUUGCUGCUUCCCUUGGAUCUGGUUCUCAGCUAUUUACCCUGUAAGUUAGUCUUUGGAGUUUUGUCUCAUAGUAUUAUGCAACUCAAGCAAGUUUCUUUUAACUCCGUGGUGCCAGAAGGUGGUGAAGUUAAUUGUGCACUUUUCCAUUUCAGAACAAUCUUUAUAUUUAUUCUUGCUCUUGUUGGUGUAUUUUACCCUUAUAACCGAGGAGCUCUCUUCACUGCAUUGGUGGUCAUAUAUGCACUUACUUCUGGAAUUGCUGGCUAUACUGCAGCCUCUUUCUAUUGCCAGCUUGAGGGAACCAAUUGGGUAUGUAACUCAUACUUUUGGCUAGUAUAAGAAUUGUUUUGUGAUCUUUUUAGUUUAGAAUUGUAUCACUGUAAUUUCAUCAUCAUCAUCAUCUUCUUCUUCUUCUUGUUCCUCUUUUUUUGGGUUUUUGGGUAUGCAUGUUAAUUUGGGGAGACUUGUGUAUUGUAUGUCUUGGAAGCAUGAUGUAGCUCUUCCCUGGUUUGGAACUUGCGAACAUUUUUGCACAUCCAAUUUUGCAGUCCUUCAAUUUGGAAACUUAUUACUUUUCAGUAAAUGGUCCAUAAGAAUUCUCUCGGGGAUGGAGCUUUAAAAUGUUAGGGUACAUAUGGAAGUGUUUCCUCUGUUUUUGUGCUUGGAUCCAUAAAUUUCUAACUUUUGAAGAAGAUGAGAACUAUGCUGCAAUUGCAUCUUUGUGUUUUUGAAAGUGUCAUUAUUUUCACACUAAAUAACUGGAUCGCAUGUUAUAACGGACAAAACAUCUCCAUCAGUUAUUUCUCUUUUUCUUCCAAGCUGUUGCACACAAUCAAUGUGGUGGUAAGAAUUUGCAUCACUCAUAGAAGCUAUGACUAAUUAUUCUCAUUUUCUUUUCCCCCUUCUACAGGUUAGAAACUUGUUGUUGACUGGAGGCCUGUUUUGUGGACCGCUGUUUUUAACAUUUUGCUUCCUCAACACUGUUGCUAUUGCUUACAGUGCCACUGCAGCACUUCCAUUUGGUACUAUUGUGGUCAUAUUUCUCAUAUGGGCCCUUGUCACAUCACCUUUGCUAGUCUUAGGUGGGAUUGCAGGAAAGAAUAGCAAGGCAGAGUUUCAAGCUCCAUGUCGUACGACAAAAUACCCAAGAGAGAUCCCACCAUUGCCUUGGUACCGUGGAACUCUACCUCAGAUGGCAAUGGCAGGUUUCUUGCCUUUCAGUGCCAUAUACAUUGAGCUCUACUACAUAUUUGCUAGUGUUUGGGGUCACAGGAUUUACACCAUCUACAGCAUCUUAUUCAUAGUCUUCAUUAUUCUCCUGAUUGUCACUGCAUUCAUCACUGUGGCUCUUACAUAUUUUCAACUUGCUGCUGAAGAC